rnacentral:rRNA from 1 species
UACGGGGGGGGCAAGCGUUGUUCGGAAUUACUGGGCGUAAAGGGCUCGUAGGCGGCUUGCUAAGUCAGACGUGAAAGCCCUCGGCUCAACCGGGGAACGGCGUCUGAGACUGGCAAGCUGGAAUCCGGGAGAGGGAUGCGGAAUUCCAGGUGUAGCGGUGAAAUGCGUAGAUAUCUGGAGGAACAUCGGUGGCGAAGGCGGCAUCCUGGACCGGCAUUGACGCUGAGGAGCGAAAGCCAGGGGAGCAAACGGG